UACGUAGGUGGCAAGCGUUGUCCGGAAUUAUUGGGCGUAAAGCGCGCGCAGGCGGUCCUUUAAGUCUGAUGUGAAAGCCCACGGCUCAACCGUGGAGGGUCAUUGGAAACUGGGGGACUUGAGUGCAGGAGAGAAGAGUGGAAUUCCACGUGUAGCGGUGAAAUGCGCAGAUAUCAGGAAGAACACCUAUGGCGAAGGCAGCACUCUGGGACGGUACUGACGCUGAGACGCGAAAGCGUGGGGAGCGAACAGG
rnacentral:rRNA from 1 species